rnacentral:rRNA from 1 species
UACGAAGGGGGGCUAGCGUUGCUCGGAAUCACUGGGCGUAAAGGGUGCGUAGGCGGGUCUUUAAGUCAGGGGUGAAAUCCUGGAGCUCAACUCCAGAACUGCCUUUGAUACUGAAAAUCUUGAGUUCGGGAGAGGUGAGUGGAACUGCGAGUGUAGAGGUGAAAUUCGUAGAUAUUCGCAAGAACACCAAGUGGCGAAGGCGGCUCACUGGCCCGAUACUGACGCUGAGGCACGAAAAGCGUGGGGAGCAACAGGG